GAGCGCAGGCGGUGCGGCAAGUCUGAUGUGAAAGCCCGGGGCUCAACCCCGGUACUGCAUUGGAAACUGUCGUACUAGAGUGUCGGAGGGGUAAGCGGAAUUCCUAGUGUAGCGGUGAAAUGCGUAGAUAUUAGGAGGAACACCAGUGGCGAAGGCGGCUUACUGGACGAUAACUGACGCUGAGGCUCGAAAGCGUGGGGAGCAAACA
rnacentral:rRNA from 1 species